rnacentral:rRNA from 1 species
GAUGAACGCUGGCGGCGUGCCUAAUACAUGCAAGUCGAGCGAACGGACGAGAAGCUUGCUUCUCUGAUGUUAGCGGCGGACGGGUGAGUAACACGUGGAUAACCUACCUAUAAGACUGGGAUAACUUCGGGAAACCGUAGCUAAUACCGGAUAAUAUUUUGAACCGCAUGGUUCAAAAGUGAAAGACGGUCUUGCUGUCACUUAUAGAUGGAUCCGCGCUGCAUUAGCUAGUUGGUAAGGUAACGGCUUACCAAGGCAACGAUGCAUAGCCGACCUGAGAGGGUGAUCGGCCACACUGGAACUGAGACACGGUCCAGACUCCUACGGGAGGCAGCAGUAGGGAAUCUUCCGCAAUGGGCGAAAGCCUGACGGAGCAACGCCGCGUGAGUGAUGAAGGUCUUCGGAUCGUAAAACUCUGUUAUUAGGGAAGAACAUAUGUGUAAGUAACUGUGCACAUCUUGACGGUACCUAAUCAGAAAGCCACGGCUAACUACGUGCCAGCAGCCGCGGUAAUACGUAGGUGGCAAGCGUUAUCCGGAAUUAUUGGGCGUAAAGCGCGCGUAGGCGGUUUUUUAAGUCUGAUGUGAAAGCCCACGGCUCAACCGUGGAGGGUCAUUGGAAACUGGAAAACUUGAGUGCAGAAGAGGAAAGUGGAAUUCCAUGUGUAGCGGUGAAAUGCGCAGAGAUAUGGAGGAACACCAGUGGCGAAGGCGACUUUCUGGUCUGUAACUGACGCUGAUGUGCGAAAGCGUGGGGAUCAAACAGGAUUAGAUACCCUGGUAGUCCACGCCGUAAACGAUGAGUGCUAAGUGUUAGGGGGUUUCCGCCCCUUAGUGCUGCAGCUAACGCAUUAAGCACUCCGCCUGGGGAGUACGACCGCAAGGUUGAAACUCAAAGGAAUUGACGGGGACCCGCACAAGCGGUGGAGCAUGUGGUUUAAUUCGAAGCAACGCGAAGAACCUUACCAAAUCUUGACAUCCUUUGACAACUCUAGAGAUAGAGCCUUCCCCUUCGGGGGGCAAAGUGACAGGUGGUGCAUGGUUGUCGUCAGCUCGUGUCGUGAGAUGUUGGGUUAAGUCCCGCAACGAGCGCAACCCUUAAGCUUAGUUGCCAUCAUUAAGUUGGGCACUCUAAGUUGACUGCCGGUGACAAACCGGAGGAAGGUGGGGAUGACGUCAAAUCAUCAUGCCCCUUAUGAUUUGGGCUACACACGUGCUACAAUGGACAAUACAAAGGGCAGCGAAACCGCGAGGUCAAGCAAAUCCCAUAAAGUUGUUCUCAGUUCGGAUUGUAGUCUGCAACUCGACUACAUGAAGCUGGAAUCGCUAGUAAUCGUAGAUCAGCAUGCUACGGUGAAUACGUUCCCGGGUCU